GACGAGCGCUGGCGGCGUGCUUAACACAUGCAAGUCGAACGGAAAGGCUCCAGCUUGCUGGCGUACUCGAGUGGCGAACGGGUGAGUAACACGUGGGUAAUCUGCCCUGCACUCUGGGAUAAGCCUGGGAAACUGGGUCUAAUACUGGAUAUGACCUUUCUCCUUAUGGGGUUUGGUGGAAAGUUUUUCGGUGUAGGAUGAGCCCGCGGCCUAUCAGCUUGUUGGUGGGGUGAUGGCCUACCAAGGCGACGACGGGUAGCCGGCCUGAGAGGGUGAUCGGCCACAUUGGGACUGAGAUACGGCCCAGACUCCUACGGGAGGCAGCAGUGGGGAAUAUUGCACAAUGGGCGGAAGCCUGAUGCAGCGACGCCGCGUGAGGGAUGACGGCCUUCGGGUUGUAAACCUCUUUCAGCAGGGACGAAGCGUAAGUGACGGUACCUGCAGAAGAAGCACCGGCUAACUAUGUG
rnacentral:rRNA from 1 species